rnacentral:lncRNA from 1 species
CUUCUCCAUUCCUGAAUAAAGCUUCAGAAGAAUCCUGAAUGUUACGUGUCUACUUGCUGGCAAGCGGCGCGCGACAGCUGGUGCCGAAACCCGGGAACUCAAGAAUUUUCCACCGGCACCGGAGAAGGACCCUGUGUUACACAGGAGGAUUCAGAACUGAGGCGCGUUUCCCACCCGAGAGGACCGCUUGGAUCCCAUUUGGGUGCCCACCAGAUUGACCCGUCGCUGUUGGCAGUCGCCUGCUCCACAACAAAUAAGGAAAGGGGGAAUUGAGGUGGAGAAGUCGCCAUCGACGGAUCCAGAUCCAGAAUCGUCAGCAGCCUCCCCAUGAAUUUUAUUAUGCUUUA